AUUGAACGCUGGCGGCAGGCUUAACACAUGCAAGUCGAGCGGGGGAAGGUAGCUUGCUACCGGACCUAGCGGCGGACGGGUGAGUAAUGCUUAGGAAUCUGCCUAUUAGUGGGGGACAACAUCUCGAAAGGGAUGCUAAUACCGCAUACGUCCUACGGGAGAAAGCAGGGGAUCUUCGGACCUUGCGCUAAUAGAUGAGCCUAAGUCAGAUUAGCUAGUUGGUGGGGUAAAGGCCUACCAAGGCGACGAUCUGUAGCGGGUCUGAGAGGAUGAUCCGCCACAAUGGGACUGAGACACGGCCCAGACUCCUACGGGAGGCAGCAGUGGGGAAUAUUGGACAAUGGGGGGAACCCUGAUCCAGCCAUGCCGCGUGUGUGAAGAAGGCCUUAUGGUUGUAAAGCACUUUAAGCGAGGAGGAGGCUACUUUAGUUAAUACCUAGAGAUAGUGGACGUUACUCGCAGAAUAAGCACCGGCUAACUCUGUGCCAGCCGCCGCGGUAA
rnacentral:rRNA from 1 species